rnacentral:rRNA from 1 species
UACGAAGGGUGCAAGCGUUACUCGGAAUUACUGGGCGUAAAGCGUGCGUAGGCGGUUUGUUAAGUCCGUUGUGAAAGCCCUGGGCUCAACCUGGGAAUUGCAGUGGAUACUGGCGAGCUAGAGUGCGGUAGAGGAUGGUGGAAUUCCCGGUGUAGCGGUGAAAUGCGUAGAGAUCGGGAGGAACACCCGUGGCGAAGGCGGCCAUCUGGACCAGCACGUGACGCUGAGGCACGAAAGCGUGGGGAUCAAACAGGAGUUAG